rnacentral:rRNA from 1 species
CCCGCUGAACUUAAGCAUAUCAAUAAGCGGAGGAAAAGAAACUGACAAGGAUUCCCCUAGUAACUGCGAGUGAAGCGGGAAGAGCUCAAAUUUGAAAUCUGGCGGUCUCUGGGCGUCAGAGGUGUUCUUUAGAGAAGCGUCUUCCGCGCCAGACCGUGCACGACUCUCCUGGAAUGGAGCAUCAUAGAGGGUGAGAAUCCCGCCUAUGGCAAGGAUCCCUGCGCUUCUGUGAAGCGCUCUCGAAGAGUCAAGUUGUUUGGGAGUGCAGCUCAAAAUGGGUGGAGAACUCCAUCUAGAUCUAAAUAUUGACAAAAGACCGAUAGCGAACAAGUGCCGUGAGGAAAAGAUGAAAAGCGCUUUGAAAAGAGAGUGAAACAGUGCAUGAAAUUGUUGAAAGGGAAACGCUUGAAGUCAGUCGCGUUGACGCGACACUCACCCUUGCCUCGACUUGGUGUACUUAUGGGCUCGACGGGUCAGCAUCGAUUUUGCCCCUCAGAUAAUGACCAGGGAAAGGUGGCACCUUUGCGGCUGUGGUAUACACUCCUGUCGACUGCGAAACGCGGCAUUGAGGAAGUCAGCGUGUACCUCGGUGCCCGCUCUUCAUGCCACGUCACUCGCUUAGGACGCAUGCGUCAUGACCUUAGACGACCCGUCUUGAAACACGG